ACUCCUACGGGAGGCAGCAGUGGGGAAUAUUGCACAAUGGGCGCAAGCCUGAUGCAGCGACGCCGCGUGAGGGAUGACGGCCUUCGGGUUGUAAACCUCUUUCAGCAGGGAAGAAGCGAAAGUGACGGUACCUGCAGAAGAAGCGCCGGCUAACUACGUGCCAGCAGCCGCGGUAAUACGUAGGGCGCAAGCGUUGUCCGGAAUUAUUGGGCGUAAAGAGCUCGUAGGCGGUUUGUCGCGUCUGCUGUGAAAACCUAAGGCUCAACCUUGGGCUUGCAGUGGGUACGGGCAGACUAGAGUGCGGUAGGGGUGACUGGAAUUCCUGGUGUAGCGGUGGAAUGCGCAGAUAUCAGGAGGAACACCGAUGGCGAAGGCAGGUCACUGGGCCGCAACUGACGCUGAGGAGCGAAAGCAUGGGGAGCGAACAGGAUUAGAUACCCUGGUAGUCCAUGCCGUAAACGUUGGGCACUAGGUGUGGGGCUCAUUCCACGAGUUCCGUGCCGCAGCAAACGCAUUAAGUGCCCCGCCUGGGGAGUACGGCCGCAAGGCUAAAACUCAAAGAAAUUGACGGGGGCCCGCACAAGCGGCGGAGCAUGCGGAUUAAUUCGAUGCAACGCGAAGAACCUUACCAAGGCUUGACAUACACCGGAAAAGUGCAGAGAUGUGCUCCCCGCAAGGUCGGUGUACAGGUAGUGCAUGGUUGUCGUCAGCUCGUGUCGUGAGAUGUUGGGUUAAGUCCCGCAACGAGCGCAACCCUCGUCCCAU
rnacentral:rRNA from 1 species